UACGAAGGGGGCUAGCGUUGCUCGGAUUUACUGGGCGUAAAGAGCGCGCAGGCGGUCGUUCAAGUCGAGUGUGAAAGCCCACGGCUCAACCGUGGAGGGUCAUUGGAAACUGGGAGACUUGAGUGCAGAAGAGGAAAGUGGAAUUCCAUGUGUAGCGGUGAAAUGCGUAGAGAUAUGGAGGAACACCAGUGGCGAAGGCGACUUUCUGGUCUGAUAACUGACACUGAGGCGCGAAAGCGUGGGGAGCAAACAGG
rnacentral:rRNA from 1 species